rnacentral:rRNA from 1 species
CCUACGGGUGGCUGCAGUGGGGAAUAUUGGACAAUGGGCGAAAGCCUGAUCCAGCCAUGCCGCGUGUGUGAAGAAGGCCUUCGGGUUGUAAAGCACUUUCAGUGGGGAAGAAAGCCUUGGGGCUAAUACCCUCGAGGAAGGACAUCACCCACAGAAGAAGCACCGGCUAACUCCGUGCCAGCAGCCGCGGUAAUACGGAGGGUGCGAGCGUUAAUCGGAAUUACUGGGCGUAAAGCGCGCGUAGGCGGUCUGAUAAGCCGGUUGUGAAAGCCCCGGGCUCAACCUGGGAACGGCAUCCGGAACUGUCAGGCUAGAGUGCAGGAGAGGAAGGUAGAAUUCCCGGUGUAGCGGUGAAAUGCGUAGAGAUCGGGAGGAAUACCAGCGGCGAAGGCGGCCUUCUGGACUGACACUGACGCUGAGGUGCGAAAGCGUGGGUAGCAAACAGGAUUAGAUACCCUAGUAGUC